CCUACGGGAGGCAGCAGUGAGGAAUAUUGGUCAAUGGACGAGAGUCUGAACCAGCCAAGUAGCGUGAAGGAUGACUGCCCUAUGGGUUUUAAACUUCUUUUAUAAAGGAAUAAAACGCGGCACGUGUGCCUUUUUGCAUGUACCUUAUGAAUAAUGAUCGGCUAACUCCGUGCCAGCAGCCGCGGUAAUACGGAGGAUCCGAGCGUUCUCCGGAUUUAUUGGGUUUAAAGGGAGCGUAGAUGGGUUUUUAAGUCAGUUGUGAAAUUUUGCGGCUCAACCGUAAAAUUGCAAUUGAUACUGGCAGUCUUGAGUACAGUUGAGGUAGGCGGAAUUCGUGGUGUAGCGGUGAAAUGCUUAGAUAUCACGAAGAACCCCGAUUGCGAAGGCAGCUUACUAAACUGUGACUGACAUUGAGGCUCGAAAGUGUGGGUAUCAAACAGGAUUAGAUACCCCAGUAGUC
rnacentral:rRNA from 1 species